ACACAAGGUAGAGGCCAAGAACCCCCACCCUACGGAAGAAACGGGCACCAGAGAGGGCCUGGGGAGGAGCCAGUGGUGCGACCGGCUACCUUCUAU
rnacentral:ncRNA from 1 species